rnacentral:ribozyme from 1 species
UGCCCAGCAACUCGUAUCCCUACCUCCUCGUGGUACUGGCCGGGGUACGAGUAACCAACCCCGGUAGGAGCUUUGCUCGUAUGCUGACAGGGAAAG